CCUACGGGAGGCAGCAGUGGGGGAUAUUGCACAAUGGGGGGAACCCUGAUGCAGCGACGCCGCGUGGGUGAAGAAGCGCCUCGGCGCGUAAAGCCCUGUCAGCAGGGAAGAAAAUGACGGUACCUGAAGAAGAAGCCCCGGCUAACUACGUGCCGGCAGCCGCGGUAAUACGUAGGGGGCAAGCGUUAUCCGGAUUUACUGGGUGUAAAGGGGGCGCAGACGGCGAUGCAAGCCAGGAGUGAAAGCCUGGGGCCCAACCCCGGGACUGCUGUUGGAACUGGGUGGCUGGAGUGCAGGAGGGGCAGGCGGAAUUCCUGGUGUAGCGGUGAAAUGCGUAGAUAUCAGGAGGAACACCGGUGGCGAAGGCGGCCUGCUGGACUGCAACUGACGUUGAGGCCCGAAAGCGUGGGGAGCAAACAGGAUUAGAUACCCCUGUAGUC
rnacentral:rRNA from 1 species